UCUGUCGUCACGAUCGUCAGGAAUGACAAACGCAAACACAUUCAAACACGCAUACCGAAGUGUGGUGGAGCUGAGAUAACACUGUCAGUUGAAAACCGACACUCCUGACAGCACUGACACUCCUGACAGCACUGACACUUCAUUUGUUCCUGCGUGUUGGAAUCAGACAAGCGGGAACAUGAACGCAACACACUAUAUUGGUGGAUGUCAACGGUGGCUGGUGGAACGUGUUAAGAGUUGCUUUUUAAAAACUCUGACGAAGUUUAUCAGUGCACAGUCCCCUGUCAGUCAGAUAGUCAGCAGUAAUUCUCAUUGGAAGUUGAAGCCUUCGUUGGAUGAGAUGUCAUUGUGGGCUCCGAACAAUCACGUAUAUUUCGAGUAUGUAUAAAAGAAACGAUACAAUGGCUGUUGGGUGCUGUGAUGCACAAGGUGUGAAGAAUUUUGACAAACCGUCACAGGAAGGAGGCAACCCUGGUAGUAAUUCAGUAUACAAUAAUGGUACAGAUGCUGAGGAGAGCCCACAGGCCUCAAAGUAUGAAUUGUUUUAGUUUUAUAAAUGUACAACAGGAGCAGCACAGUAGAUACUACUAAAGAAUUUCAACACAUUCAUUUUUAACUUUACCAGUUAGAAAUACAUUUUUGCAAUUGUAUUAAAUUACAUACAUCAGCCUCCAGCUCUUCUUCAGUGUUGAUUCUCCACUGUCUAGUCCGUGCCUCUCCAAGCCAGACCUGCAGUGUGCAGAAAUGGUCAACUGGUGUGAUUAAUUCCAGAAGGGAAUUUUGAAGAAAAUUACCUGACUUCAUUCAAAAGUGGAGACAGCAGUUUGGAGAAAUUGAAUUCCUGUCAAUGUAUUUUUUCCAUAUGUUCAAAUGAGUCAUUCCCUUCACUAUUUAAGUGAAAAAGAAGAAGUCAUCCCAACAUAGCAGCAGGGUGAGAAGAGAGAUUGAUUUUGAGCAAGCACAAAAAGGGGUAAAAUUUCAAAUAGUAAUGCAGUGGCUGUUUAAAUGAAAUGAGAUGAUAAAAACCCAUAAUCCACCCAGCCCUAAAAUAAAGUCAAAAGCCUAAUAUUGAGUAUAUGUGGGUUCAUAAAGUUUAGGGGCUCAAUCUCUCACUGUGAUGUUCUUUCUGUAUAUGGGAAUUGCAUACUUUUCUCCGUGUGCCUAGU